rnacentral:rRNA from 1 species
CGACUCUCGGCAACGGAUAUCUCGGCUCUCGCAUCGAUGAAGAACGUAGCGAGAUGCGAUACUUGGUGUGAAUUGCAGAAUCCCGUGAACCAUCGAGUCUUUGAACGCAAGUUGCGCCCCAAGCCAUUAGGCCGAGGGCACGCCUGCCUGGGUGUCACG